UAGAGUUUGAUCCUGGCUCAGGAUCAACGCUGGCGGCGUGCCUAAUGCAUGCAAGUCGAACGGGGUCGCCUUCGGGCGGCUCACGUGGCGGACGGGUGAGGAACACGUGGGCGAUCUGCCCCGAGGUGGGGGAUAGCCACCAGAAAUGGUGGGUAAGACCGCAUGAGCUCGCCGGGUUACGGCCUGGUGAGGAAAACGCUUCGGCGUGCCUUGGGAGGAGCCUGCGGCGGAUUAGCUGGUUGGUGGGGUAACGGCUUACCAAGGUGAUGAUCCGUAGCUGGUCUGAGAGGAUGGCCAGCCACAGGGGAACUGAGACACGGUCCCCACUCCUACGGGAGGCAGCAGCAAGGAAUUUUCCGCAAUGGGCGAAAGCCUGACGGAGCAACGCCGCGUGGGGGAUGACGCUUUUCGGAGUGUAAACCCCUUUUCUCAGGGAAGAAAACAAUGACGGUACCUGAGGAAUAAGGACCGGCUAACUACGUGCCAGCAGCCGCGGUAAUACGUAGGGUCCGAGCGUUGUCCGGAGUUACUGGGCGUAAAGCGCGCGCAGGCGGUCCGAUAAGACUGGCGUGAAAGCCCCCGGCUCAACCGGGGAGGGUCGUUGGUGACCGUCGGACUUGAAGACAGCAGGGGCAGGUGGAAUUCCCGGUGUAGUGGUGAAAUGCGUAGAGAUCGGGAGGAACACCCGUGGCGAAGGCGGCCUGCUGGGCUGGUCUUGACGCUGAGGCGCGAAGGCGUGGGGAGCGAACGGGAUUAGAUACCCCGGUAGUCCACGCAGUAAACGAUGCAGACUAGGCGUGGGGGGACUUGACCCCUUCCGUGCCGGAGCCAACGCGGUAAGUCUGCCGCCUGGGGAGUACGGCCGCAAGGCUAAAACUCAAAGGAAUUGACGGGGGCCCGCACAAGCGGCGGAGCGUGCGGUUUAAUUCGACGCAACGCGCAGAACCUUACCAGGGCUUGACAUGCGACUGCAGAGCGGUGAAAGCCGAAGUCCUUCGAGGGUGUCGCACAGGUGCUGCAUGGCUGUCGUCAGCUCGUGUCGUGAGAUGUUGGGUUAAGUCCCGCAACGAGCGCAACCCUCGCCGCCAGUUACGUGGGUGUCUGGCGGGACUGCCGGUAGCAAGCCGGAGGAAGGCGGGGAUGAUGUCAAGUCAGCAUGGCCCUUACGUCCUGGGCUACACGCACGCUACAAUGGCGCGCACAGAGGGUAGCCAAACCGCGAGGUGGAGCGAAUCCCAAAAAGCGCGUCUCAGUUCAGAUUGUGGGCUGCAACUCGCCCGCAUGAAGGCGGAGUCGCUAGUAACCGCCGGUCAGCAAUACGGCGGUGAAUACGUUCCCGGGCCUUGUACACACCGCCCGUCACGUCAUGAAAGCCGGCAACACCUGAAGCCGGUGGGCCAACCCCUUGUGGGAGGCAGCCGUCGAGGGUGGGGCGGGUGAUUGGGACGAAGUCGUAACAAGGUAACC
rnacentral:rRNA from 1 species